GACGAACGCUGGCGGCGUGCCUAAUACAUGCAAGUCGAACGCAGUGGGGACGGGUGUGUAACACGUGGGUAACCUCCCAUCAGAGGGGAUAACACUUGGAAACAGGUGCUAAACCGAUACUGAUGGAUGAACCCGCGGUGCAUUAGCUAGUUGGUGAGUUAACGGCUCACCAAGGCCACGAUGCAUAGCCGACCUGAGAGGUUGCUCGGCCGCACUGGGACUGCGGCACGGCCCAGACUCCGGCGGGAGGCAGCAGUAGGGAAUCUUCAGCAAUGGACGAAAGUCUGACCGAGCAACGCCGCGUGAUUGAAGAGGGUUUUCGGAUCGUAAUACUCUGUUGUUAGAGAAGCGGUAUCUAACCAGAAAGCCACGGCUAACUACGUGCCAGCAGCCGCGGUAAGUC
rnacentral:rRNA from 1 species